GACGAACGCUGGCGGCGUGCUUAACACAUGCAAGUCGAACGGAAAGGCCCUGCUUUUGUGGGGUGCUCGAGUGGCGAACGGGUGAGUAACACGUGAGUAUCCUGACCUUGUUUUUGGGAUAACUUAAGGAAACUGGGGCUACUACCGGAUCGGAGAUCAUGCUGCAUGGUGGGGGUUGGAACGUUUCGGCGGUUGUGGAUGGACUCGCGGCUUACCAGCUUGUUGGUGGGGUAGUGGCUUACCCAGUAUGUGGCGGAUCGCCGGCCUGGGAGGGUGACCGGCCACAAUAGGACUGAGAGACGGCCCAGACUGCAACGGGAGGCAGCAGGGGGGAAUAUUGCACAAUGGGCGGGAGCCUGAGGCAGCGACGCCGCGGUCGGGAUGACGUCCUUCGGGGUAUGAACCGCUGUCGCCUGUGACGAAGCGUUAGUGACGGUAAUGGGUAAAGAAGCACCGGCUAACUACGUG
rnacentral:rRNA from 1 species